UUUUCGUCAUCUUUUCUUUAACUUGACAUUUGAGAUUUGACAACCUCAACUUUUACCUAGCGAACGUGAGACGUGUAAUUUUAUAAACAUGGUUGUCCGUCAGUAUAAUGAUGAGCUUCAAUAUUUGGAAAAGCUUACCCCUCAUAGCUGGAAAAUCAAAAAGGGCUUCCAGCCAAAUAUGAAUGUAGAAGGUAUCUUUUAUGUCAACAACCAUUUAGAGAAGUUGAUGUUUGAUGAGUUGCGCAAUGCUUGUCGGCCUGGGAUGGUUGGCGGAUUUUUGCCUGGAAUGAAGCAGAUUGCUAAUGUCGCUGCUCUACCUGGCAUUGUUGGGAAAUCUAUUGGUCUACCUGAUGUUCAUUCAGGAUAUGGUUUUGCAAUAGGUAAUAUGGCAGCAUUUGACAUGGAUGAUCCAAAGUCCGUAGUUUCUCCUGGCGGUGUAGGUUUUGACAUCAACUGUGGUGUUCGAUUGCUGCGUACCAACCUGAUGGAGAAGGACGUUCAACCUGUCAAAGAACAGUUGGCUCAGAGCAUGUUUGACCACAUCCCAGUAGGCGUGGGGUCCAAGGGGAUCAUCCCUAUGACAGCCCGGGACCUGGAGGAAGCUCUGGAGAUGGGUAUGGACUGGAGUCUGAGGGAAGGCUACGUCUGGGCGGAGGACAAGGAACACUGCGAGGAGUACGGCCGCAUGCUCACAGCUGACCCGGCUAAAGUCAGCAUGCGAGCCAAGAAGCGGGGCUUGCCUCAGCUAGGAACGUUAGGAGCUGGCAACCACUACGCAGAGAUCCAAGUUGUAGACGAGAUCUUUGACAAGUGGGCCGCCAGCAAGAUGGGGAUAGAGUGCAAGGGACAGAUCUGCGUAAUGAUUCACUCGGGAAGUCGUGGCUUCGGACACCAAGUAGCUACAGAUGCUCUGGUCGAGAUGGAGAAGGCCAUGAAGAGAGACAACAUAGAGACAAAUGACCGACAGCUGGCUUGCGCUAGGAUCAAAUCCGUCGAGGGACAAAACUAUCUCAAGGCCAUGUCGGCUGCCGCCAACUUUGCGUGGGUCAAUCGUUCUUCUAUGACUUUCCUCAGUCGACAGGCAUUCGCCAAGCAGUUCAAUAUGACCCCAGAUGAUUUGGACAUGCACGUCAUUUACGAUGUUUCUCACAAUAUUGCCAAAAUUGAGGAGCAUGUCGUUGAUGGGAAGAGGAAAACUCUGCUCGUCCACAGAAAGGGGUCCACUAGAGCCUUUCCUCCACACCACCCGCUGAUCCCAGUAGACUAUCAGCUGACUGGACAACCAGUGCUGAUUGGAGGCACCAUGGGGACUUGCAGCUACGUGUUGACUGGCACUGAACAAGGCAUGGAGGAGACCUUUGGCUCAACCUGUCAUGGCGCGGGUCGAGCGCUUUCAAGAGCAAAAUCAAGACAAAACUUGGACUACACAGAUGUUCUACGCAAGCUGGAAGAACAGGGUAUCAGUAUUAGAGUGGCUUCACCCAAGCUGGUCAUGGAGGAGGCCCCAGAGUCGUACAAGAACGUGACGGAUGUUGUGGACACUUGUCACGCAGCAGGCAUCAGUCGCAAGGCCAUCAAGUUGCGACCGAUAGCCGUCAUCAAGGGUUGAACACCUACACCUGGUUAUAGGUAUUUUUACGAUGGCUAUUACCUGUGCAUAGACUGAUUCAGCUGAUGGAAUGUUGAUAAAAUCAUCUUGUAUGCUGUUAAACCAACUAAAAAAAAAUGAAACAACUGUAUUUCUUAUGAAGAAUUUAAUUUAUCUACGUAGAUUCAGCUCUAAAACCCAUUUAAUUAUAUAAAGUAUGUAAUCUAAUGUACAUAAUUAGGCCUAGUAUUUAUUUACUAUUCUCUGCAGCCUUUAGCUU